AUUGAACGCUGGCGGCAUGCUUUACACAUGCAAGUCGAACGGUAACAGGCCUUCGGGUGCUGACGAGUGGCGAACGGGUGAGUAAUGCAUCGGAACGUGCCCAAUCGUGGGGGAUAACGUAGCGAAAGUUACGCUAAUACCGCAUAAGCCCUGAGGGGGAAAGUGGGGGACCGCAAGGCCUCACGCGAAUGGAGCGGCCAAUGUCAGAUUAGCUAGUUGGUGGGGUAAAGGCCCACCAAGGCGACGAUCUGUAGCGGGUCUGAGAGGAUGAUCCGCCACACUGGAACUGAGACACGGUCCAGACUCCUACGGGAGGCAGCAGUGGGGAAUAUUGGACAAUGGGGGCAACCCUGAUCCAGCCAUGCCGCGUGUGUGAAGAAGGCCU
rnacentral:rRNA from 1 species